AGAGUUUGAUCAUGGCUCAGGAUGAACGCUGGCGGCGUGCCUAAUACAUGCAAGUCGAGCGGUAAGGCCCCUUCGGGGGUACACGAGCGGCGGACGGCUGAGUAACGCGUAGGAACAUACCCCAAAGUGAGGGAUAACUGCUCGAAAGAGUAGCUAAUACCGCAUGUGGUCUAAGGAUUAAAGCUUCGGCGCUUUGGGAAUGGCCUGCGUAUGAUUAGUUUGUUGGUGAGGUAAUGGCUCACCAAGACUACGAUCAUUAGCUGGUCUGAGAGGAUGAUCAGCCAGACUGGGACUGAGACACGGCCCAGACUCCUACGGGAGGCAGCAGUAGGGAAUCUUCCACAAUGGGCGAAAGCCUGAUGGAGCAACGCCGCGUGCAGGAUGAAGGCCUUCGGGUUGUAAACUGCUUUUAUAUGCGAAGAUUAUGACGGUAGCAUAUGAAUAAGGAUCGGCUAACUCCGUGCCAGCAGCCGCGGUCAUACGGAGGAUCCAAGCGUUAUCCGGAAUUACUGGGCGUAAAGAGUUGCGUAGGCGGCAUUGUAAGUAGGUAGUAAAAUCCUGGGGCUCAACCCCUUAAAUAUUAUCUAAACUGCAAAGCUAGAAUAUAGAAGAGGUAGCUGGAAUUCCUUGUGUAGGAGUGAAAUCCGUAGAUAUAAGGAGGAACACCGAUGGCGUAGGCAGGCUACUGGUCUAUUAUUGACGCUAAGGCACGAAAGCGUGGGUAGCAAACGGGAUUAGAUACCCUAGUAGUCC
rnacentral:rRNA from 1 species